UUUUAGGUAGUAUAAGAAGUACACCAGUUAGAUCACUGGGCGUGGGGAUUUGAUCCCCCCUGGCGU
rnacentral:tRNA from 1 species